AUACGGAGGGUGCAAGCGUUACUCGGAAUCACUGGGCGUAAAGCGCGCGUAGGCGGCUUGAUAAGUUGGAUGUGAAAGCCUACGGCUCAACCGUAGAACUGCAUCCAAAACUGUCAGGCUAGAGUGUGGGAGAGGCAGAUGGAAUUAGUUGUGUAGGGGUAAAAUCCGUAGAGAUAACUAGGAAUACCAAAAGCGAAGGCAAUCUUCUGGAACACUACUGACGCUGAGGCGCGAAGGCGUGGGGAGCAAACAGGAUUAGAAACCCCAGUAGUCC
rnacentral:rRNA from 1 species